rnacentral:ncRNA from 1 species
CCCGUCUCAAAGGGGUGCCCUAAACAAUCGGGCUGAGAUCAUACCCAAAGAACCUGGGCGGGUAAUGCCGCCAAGGGAAUUAAAGGCUAAACAAGC